GCAUGGUUAGCUCAGUCGGUUAGAGCGUGGUGCUGAUAACACCAAGGUCACGGGUUCGAUCCUCAUUCGGUCCG
rnacentral:tRNA from 1 species